AUUGACGCUGGGAUUGAAGCGCA
rnacentral:piRNA from 1 species